AACGAACGUUAGCGGCGCGCUUAACACAUGCAAGUCGUGCGAGAAAGGGCUUCGGCCCCGGUAAAGCGGCGCACGGGUGAGUAACACGUAGGUAACCUACCCCCAGGUGGUGGAUAACCUUCCGAAAGGAGGGCUAAUACAGCAUGAGACCACGCCCUCGCGAGAGGAUGAGGUAAAAGUCGGCCUCUUCAUGAAAGCUGGCGCCAGGGGAAGGGCCUGCGGCCCAUCAGCUAGUUGGUAGGGUAAUGGCCUACCAAGGCUAAGACGGGUAGCUGGUCUGAGAGGAUGAUCAGCCACACUGGAACUGAGACACGGUCCAG
rnacentral:rRNA from 1 species